rnacentral:tmRNA from 1 species
GUAAAGGUUUCGACAGGGGUCUUGCAGCUGGAGAAGCUAUCCGCAGGCGAUGCGUCAAAUCGCAAAUUAAAAUUAAACGCUAACGAUAAUUUAGCAUACGCUGCCUAGUUGCAGCAGUCUCGCCUAACGCACUCACACGCUAGGGCCGGGGCUUCGACUAUGUGAGAAACGACACGGGCUAAGCUUUGCACCCGUGGGCGUAUCAUGAAGCUACUAAAUCGUAUUGGUUGUUCCUUUCUGAUGCGAUGAGGGAAUGGGGCUUGCCCACAAAAAGGCACUAUGAUAGUAGAAGGACAGGGAAUAGGCUUUUGGACACGGGUUCGACUCCCGUCUGGUCCAU